CGCCGAAGAGGCGGGGACAGCAGCCUUUGAAGCUGUUUAUCUUGGUUCGAUUCCAAGUCCGGCAG
rnacentral:tRNA from 1 species